AAUGUUGUUUCAGCUUUCCUAUUUUUAGGAGCCGAGAACCAGAGCACAUAACCAAUUUCUUUGUUUAACAGUCAGCAGCACUGCUAAGCAGCAGGACUCAACAGAAGCUCCCCGGCAACUACAACAUUAUG
rnacentral:lncRNA from 1 species